rnacentral:rRNA from 1 species
UCAAGCUAAAAAGGGCGCAAGGUGAAUGCCUUGGCACUGGGAGCCGAUGAAAGACGUGGUAAGCUGCGAAAAGCUUCGGGGAGGAGCAAACAUCCAUUGAUCCGGAGAUAUCUGAAUGGGGCAACCCAAUGGAGUUCAUACUCCAUUAUCCAAUACUGAAUCCAUAGGUAUUGGAAGGGAACCGCCUGAACUGAAACAUCUAAGUAGGGCGAGGAAGAGACAUCAAACGAGAUUCCGUAAGUAGUGGCGAGCGAACGCGGAAGAGGGCAAACCGAGAGGAGAAAUCCUUUCGGGGUACGGACUGCUUUAAGGACUGGAAGAGUUAACAGAAUGGCAUGGGAAGGCCAACCGAAGAGUGUGAGAGUCACGUAAGUAAAAAUUCUGACAGCUGCGCAGGAUCCAGAGUACGGCCAGACACGUGAAACCUGGUCGGAAUAUGGGGGGACCACCCUCCAACCCUAAAUACUACCCAGUGACCGAUAGCGUAUAGUACUGUGAAGGAAAGGUGAAAAGGACCCCGGGAGGGGAGUGAAAGAGAACCUGAAACCUUGUGCCUACAAGCACAUAGAGCCCGUCAAAGGGUGAUAUGGUACUUUUUGUAGAACGGUCCGGCGAGCGAUUGUACGUUGCGAGCUUAAGGUCUUAAGGACUGGAGGCGUAGCGAGAGCGAGUCUAAACAGGGCGUUUAGUAGCGUGCAAUGGGCCCGAAACCGGGUGACCUACCCAUGAUCAGGCUGAAGUGAAAGUAAAAUUUCAUGGAGGGCCGAACCGACCUCCGUUGAAAAGGCGGCGGAUGAAUUGUGGGUAGCGGAGAAAUUCCAAUCGAACUCGGAGAUAGCUGGUUCUCCCCGAAAUAGCUUUAGGGCUAGCCUCAUGUUAGAUAUCCGGAGGUAAAGCACUGAAUGGCCUAGCGUCCGAGAGGAUAGCGAAGCCUAUCAAACUAAGAAUGCCGGAAUAUUGAUGCAUGGGAGUCAGACAGUGUGAGAUAAAUCUCAUUGUCAAAAGGGAAACAGCCCAGAUCUACAGCUAAGGUCCCAAAUUGUAUCUAAGUGGAAAACGAUGUGGAAAUACGCAGACAACCAGGAUGUUGGCUCAGAAGCAGCCACUCAUUUAAAGAGUGCGUAAUAGCUCACUGGUCGAGCGUCUCUGCGCGGAAAAUUUAACGGGGCUAAGAUACAAACCGAAGCUUAGGCUGCAUACGGAAGUAUGCGGGGUAGGGGAGCGUUGUGUAAGCGGAGAAACAGUAGCGGAAGCGGCUGUGGAGUUUACAGAAGUGAGAAUGCCGGAAUGAGUAGCGCGAAUGAUGUGAGAAUCAUCAUGGCCGGAAACCUCAGGUUUUUGGAGGAAGGUUCGUCCGCUCCAAGUUAGGCGGGAGCUAAGGUGAGGCCGAAAGGCGUAGCCGAUGCACAGACGGUAGAGAUUCCGUCCCCACCGAAAGAUUUAAGCGCAGGGACACUUUUAGAAGGUCGGAGCCAGGUGUUGGUUCUGGUAGAGAUCGAGGGAAGAUUAGUACCGAAGUCCGGCUGGAUAAGAGGCGAGAAAAGCUGCGUGUAUAUCUAAGGUGCCCGUACCGCAAACCGACACAGGUAGGUAGGAAGAAGAUUCUAAGGCCAACGGGAGAAGGGUUGUUAAGGAACUCGGCAAGUUGACCCCGUAACUUCGGAAUAAGGGGUGCUCAUGAAAGUGAGCCGCAGAGAAUAGGCCCAGGCAACUGUUUACCAAAAACACAGGUUUGUGCUAAAUCGAAAGAUGACGUAUACGAGCUGACGCCUGCCCGGUGCUGGAAGGUUAAAAGGAGAUGUGCAAGCAUUGAAUUGAAGCCCCAGUGAACGGCGGCCGUAACUAUAACGGUCCUAAGGUAGCGAAAUUCCUUGUCAGGUAAGUUCUGACCCGCAUGAAAGGCGUAAUGAUCUGGGCACUGUCUCAACAGCCCGCCCGGCGAAAUUGUAGUACCGGUGAAGAUGCCGGUUACCCGCGACAA